AAUUCAUGAGUUGGGCAUUGAGUUAUCAGUUCUUUAAACCUUGCCCAUGUCUCAUGGAUCCUUUCACCUUCCAUUUGUUUGAAGGUUAGGAUGCGAUCCCUGAACAU
rfam:Solanum tuberosum cultivar DM 1-3 516 R44 scf00015_161, whole genome shotgun sequence.